UGCAUUGUAAAUUCAUAACCGGGUGAGUAGCGUGGUGCCGGCGUCUGAGAUUGGCCCGCUUUCCCUUGCUUAGCUUGCGGCGGCUGGUCGAAAAUCGCGACGGCAUUCAACGGAAGGUUAAAAAUUCCGC
rnacentral:lncRNA from 1 species